CAGCCGCCACGGUAAAACGAAGGGGGCUAGCGUUGUUCGGAUUUACUGGGCGUAAAGCGCACGUAGGCGGAUCAAUCAGUCAGGGGUGAAAUCCCAGAGCUCAACUCUGGAACUGCCUUUGAUACUGUCGAUCUGGAGUAUGGAAGAGGUGAGUGGAAUUCCGAGUGUAGAGGUGAAAUUCGUAGAUAUUCGGAGGAACACCAGUGGCGAAGGCGGCUCACUGGUCCAUUACUGACGCUGAGGUGCGAAAGCGUGGGGAGCAAACAGGAUUAGAUACCCCUGUAGUCCCUGUCUCUUAUAC
rnacentral:rRNA from 1 species